GAUGCUCAUGACGCUGAUCACCGGAUUGUCUGGUCCAGACUCGUUAUUUACAGACCUGCUCCAUAUAGCUGGAAUAUUGCUGAGGUUGGCGUUAACCAACAACCAACCAGUGGACCAUCCACACUCUUUAUGUGUUUCUCAUCUCCAUCCUCAACCAGCAAAAGAGGAGGUACAACUAUGAGCUAAACAACUCAAUGGUCUAGUGGACUGAACAUCUGCCAGGGUAACCAAGAUAUUACGUCCAUGCAUGAUGGAUGGACAGAGGCAUGCAGCUAAGGACACGAUGAGCAGACGGGCAUGAAAUCCUGUGUCUUGAUGUACCAGGACAGAAUUGUGGCACAUCAUUAUCAGAGGGAAGAACAAUAUUUGACACUGAGGACGGCAACCACUGAUCACACUUAACAUCAAAGACAUCGUUUGAUGACCAAAGAAUUAGGCAGAUGCACAGACAUGCUUGAAACUGGAUCAACACAAUGUCAUGUCUGAUGUGUCAGUCAAAGUGUGAUCAGCAGGACAUAGAAUCGAUACCAGACGUUUGGAGCGGCUACCCGGUGACAUGAACGUUGCUGACACCAUUCCAAAACACAGAAGGAAGACAUGUUUGUCGUAACUGCAACAAGACAAUAUCACUUCAUGGCUGAUACUGCACUCAGAAAUGACCUACAGCAUGCCAGUAUUGAUGUUUCUACACAAACAGUGCAUAAUCUUACUCUGAGGACGCCGCCAUAUAGCUGGAAUAUUGCUGAGUGUGGCGUAAAACUAAACUCACUCACUGAGGCUGAUCUCUGCAGACAGAAAGCAUGCAUUCGCAUCUCUGGCCUGACCUGACAUGAGUGAGUGAGUUGGGUUUCACGCCACUUUGAGCAGGCUGGGUAGAACUGGAAGAAUCAUGCCCCAUGUCCUAUAGUGGACCAUCCAGAUAGUUACUGGGAGUAUGAGACAAUGGUGGCAGCCUGUUGACCACAAUUUGUGCUACUGGAAUUGUUUUUCGGAUAAAGAUUGUUUUCUUGAUAUUUUGACAA